AUGUAGGAGUCUAAUGUCCAACAAAUUGAGCUAUCCUCCUACAUUUUCCUAAAUUUUUAUUACUUCCCCAAUCACAAGACAGCAACCCAGCUCUCAUCUGUGCUCUGAAAUACCUUCACAAUUGCAAAUCCUAAUUUUAGUUUUAGGGUUUUAGGUUUAACAAAUUCUCCCUAAAUUAGCAAAAAUGGAUUAGCAAUUCACAUGUUUCAUACACAAGUACAAUAGAAAUACCUCAAAUAAUAGCAAUGCAACAGAUGGAACUUCACAUUAUCAGUUGCAACCACCACUGCUUCACCUCUCUAAUUUCGGCGCCUCCUAAUAUUCAUCCCCUUCAGAUUGAAGUCAAUGCCGUUUACCGUUGCCGUCUAAUGAAGCUCAAGCUCAUGUUCGUGGAAGAUAUCAAUCGAGUUAGGGUGGAACUCUAGUAGGUGAUGAGCUUUAUCCAAUCUCCAUGUUGAAGCGGGACUACAGGAGGAAGAAGUUCCUUC
rnacentral:lncRNA from 1 species